UGCCUUCAUCUUCUCUUCUCCUCUCCCUACUCUUCCCUCCUUUCGGCUCUUCCUGAGGGAGGAAGGAUCUGGCAACCUGCGAGUGUAGUGGAGAUCAACAAUUAGCGCCAACAAAAAUGGCUCCCCCACCCCCAUCCCAGUUGCAGUCUCUGGAGAGCCUCCCUCCGGGUCUUGUUAAAAGAAACGGUAAGCGCAGUGGAAAAGACAAUGGAAAUGCUAAAGCCAGGGAAGACGUGGUUCCAGCCCAUCUCCUCCUUCCCCAGGACAGCUCACAGUCAUCAUGAAUGAAGAGGGGAUGAUCACAUGGCCUCAUCACCAUGACGACGGAUCCCAGCAGAAGAUGCAGGCAUCAAAGUCACAUGAGAGCCAUGGAAAAUUGGCUGAGUUAUUUAUAGAAUGGUAGGCUGCUGGUGCCUUUAUGGAAAUGGGUCUAUAUUUGACUGUGGUACCAAAGCCUCCAUGCUGUCUCUCUCCCUCAAUCCCCAGGCACUGUCUAGUAGGGUGUGGCAAGGCACUCCAUCUGAAAUUGAUCUCGCCCAUGACUCCCCCGUUUCUAGGCAGAAAAACAAAACCUUUUUUAUUCCCAUAAUCUCCCCCAGGGCACCCCAAUGCACCCCCAUUGCCACUGCUGCAGCUCUUUCGUAGAUGGAUACCCUUUCUGCCCUUGCAAACGGGGACCCAGCAAAUGCCUCUGCGAUAGUCAAGGGAAUGGAGUGAGAGCAAGCCUUGUUUGUGACAUGAAGAUUCUGGCAGUUUGGGA